rnacentral:piRNA from 1 species
UGACAGUUUACACAUGCCACGGCAAUACCCA